AAUGAAGUGCCUGAAUAAAGGAUUAUCUUGAUAGGGUAAAUAAUGUAAAUUUUUACCUUCAUUA
rnacentral:tRNA from 1 species